UCCGUGGUGGUCUAGUGGUUAGGACUCAGGGCUUUCACCCUUGGGGCCACGGUUCAAUCCCUGCUCUGGGA
rnacentral:tRNA from 1 species